AUGUCAGCUUUACUUAUUAAGCACUUUCAUGAAAAGGUACAUCAUCAAGGACGUGGAAUGACAAUGAACGAACUGCGAGCUAAUGGAUGGUGGAUCCUGGGAUGUAGCGGGGUGGUCUCAUCACACAUCUUUAAAUGUGUUAAGUGCAGAAAGUAUAGAAGGCCUGCAGAAGAACAAAGAAUGGGUGACUUACCGCAAGAUAGAAUGGAAACCACUUCACCAUUCACUUAUGCUGGUAUUGACUGCUUUGGUCCAAUAUAUAUUAAAGAAGGAAGAAAGGAGCUCAAGAGAUAUGGUCUUUUACUUACUUGUCUAUGUUCAAGGGCCAUACACAUAGAGAUGAUUGAUGACAUGACCACUGAUUCAUUUAUUAAUGCUUUAAGAGCGUUCAUUGGAAUAAGAGGAAAUGUUCGUCAGUUGAGAUGUGAUCAAGGAACCAAUUUUGUUGGCGCAAGAAGAGAAUUUGCAGAACUCAUGAAAGGAAUGGAUCAAGAAAGAGUUAAGGCUUUAGGAUGUGAAUUUCUUAUGAAUCCUCCAGCAGCAAGUCAUAUGGGAGGUGUCUGGGAGAGGCAAAUAAGAACCAUAAGAAGUGUGCUUUCGGCUAUUCUCGACCAGUCAUCACAGAGGCUUGACAGUACCUCUCUAAGGACAUUCCUGUAUGAGGUUAUGGCAAUUGUUAACAGCAGACCACUCACCACUGAAUAUUUGAAUGAUCCAUCUGGACCUGAACCUUUAACUCCGAACCACAUUCUUACAAUGAAAUCCACAAUCAUUCUACCUCCACCUGGACAGUUUACAAGGGAAGAUCUUUAUCUUCGAAAGAGGUGGCGUAGAGUACAGUAUUUGGCAAAUGAAUUCUGGACUCGAUGGAAAAAGGAAUAUCUUUUAAACUUGCAGUCAAGACAAAAGUGGUACAAAAACAGAAGGAACUUGAAAGUCAAUGACAUUGUCCUUCUACAAGAUGAUCUGGCACCACGUAAUGAAUGGAAGUUGGCCAGAGUCAUAGAAGUCUACCCAGGGUCAGAUGGGAUGGUUAGAAAACUAAAAUUGAUGGUUAGUGACCGUAAGUUUGACAAGAAAGUGAAACCCAUAACUAAACCUGUGUUUCUUGAAAGACCUAUACAUAAGGUUGUUGUUCUGCUUGAAGCAGGUUGCGAGGUAUGA
ensembl:lncRNA